rnacentral:rRNA from 1 species
AUAGCGUAUAUUAAAGUUGUUGCAGUUAAAAAGCUCGUAGUUGAACUUUGAGCUCGUCCGGGCGGUCCGCCUCACGGCGCUGUACUGUCUGGGCGGGCUUUUCCUCUUGGUGAAUCGGCGUGCCCUUCGUUGGGUGCGUCGGGGAACCAGGACUUUUACCUUGAGAAAAUUAGAGUGUUCAAAGCAGGCCAAUCGCCCGAAUACAUUAGCAUGGAAUAAUAAAAUAGGACGCGCGGUUCUAUUUUGUUGGUUUCUAGAGUCGCCGUAAUGAUUGAUAGGGACAGUUGGGGGCAUUAGUAUUCAGUUGCUAGAGGUGAAAUUCUUGGAUUUACUGAAGACUAACUACUG